GUGCUAGAGGAUUUUUAUCCUCUAGGAUAACAAGGACAUCUGCCAGUUUCCUUCAAAAUACUUUGAUUUGGAUAUCUCCUUCCAUCUCUUCCGUAUAAGUAGAGGCUGAGUAGGGGAUUCUGGUGCAAGUGGUUUACUGGGGGAGUGCCUCAGGAGAAAGAUGAGAUGCCGUCAAAGCUGGCCUCUGGAGCACAAAUUAUAUCCAGAGUUGGCCCGGCUCGGAGGCAAGGGGACUGGCCUUCUGUUUCCCGCAGCAGUCGGUCAUUGGCAGCCCAGUGAAGGGGGCGUCUGUGAGCUCUCAGCAGCCCACACCCACAGCAGCCAGGGGAUGGCCUCACGGGCUGGACGGGGCACUUUCAGCAUCUACUCCGUGUUCCUCACGUUUUUCAAGGUCUCCUGAAUACCCUGUGACUGUGGAAGGGGUUAUAAAAAUUGAGGAAAGGGAUGGAUUUCACUUCUGAGUUGAUGAAAUAAUUAGCCACUGAACUAAUUCCUCAAAACAAGAGUCAGGGCCACAGGUGACUAUGAGACUGUGUGUGGUCUCCCCUGCUCCCACCAUGUGCAAACUCCUGGAAGAGAAUUGGAAUCCCACAAGACUGAGAGUGGGGUUACACUGACACCAGCAUAGCUAAGCCUCAUGACAACCCAGCAAGUCGUGUAUCCCUACUUCCCUGAAAAGAAAACCGAAGCGCAAAAAGGUGAAGAUAGUGACGUUAUAAAUCCAAAGAAGGGUGAGGAUUUUAAUAAAAGCAGUGGCAGAGGAAAGAAAGGGAAGAGAAGUUCAUGGUUCUUGAGCACUGUCAUGGCUCCAGGCUCUAUGAUGCAGGCACACAUGCUUCGCAUGCAGUUAAUCCGUGACCAACUCAUUGAGUCCUGGAAACCAUCCUGAGAGCGUAUUACCCCAGUCUAAGGCCCAGGAAAUGGAGACUUGGGGGAGGUAAGGUGUUAUGACAGGCCCACUGUUUGCUGCCCAGUACCCAUUCUCUCCUUCCUUAUGACAGAACCCAACUUCCUUAGGUGUAACAAUGUGCCUGGUUAGAAAAAUUGGUGCCUAAGUUCCCACUGGCCAAACUUGGGACAACUUGAGCAUUAUAGCCAUUUGACAGUUUGAACCCAUAACAUAUUUCAUUUUUUAAAAAAUGCAAUAGUCCAUGUGUUAAAAGAGAGGGGAUGGGGCUUCCCUGGUGGCGCAGUGGUUGAGAAUCUGCCUGCCAGUGCAGGGGGCACGGGUUCGAGCCCUGGUCUGGGAAGAUCCCACAUGCCGCGGAGCAACUGGGCCCGUGAGCCACAACUACUGAGCCUGCGCGUCUGGAGCCUGUGCUCCGCAACAGGAGAGGCCGCGAUAGUGAGAGGCCCGCGCGCUGCGAUGAAGAGUGGCCCCCACUUGCCACAACUAGAGAAAGCCCUCGCGCAGAAACGAAGACCCAACACAGCCAAAAAAAAAAAGGGGGAUGUAGAAAAAGGGGGGGGGGUCUUCUUUACAAAAGAAUGCCAGCAAAUCAGUGUGAGAUUUAAAAAUUGCCAUCUUGUGACCCUCAGUGAAUUAACUGAAUCAUGCAAAAAUCAUCAGUGGAUCCUAAAGCUGUUGAGUGACAACUCCCAAGUCUCACCACAGAUUUCUGAACAAUCAUAAAGAGAAAACUAUUACAUUGAUGAGACCUGGAGGUCACUUCCUUAACUAAAUGGCUGAACUUAGCAUCACGGAGAGUGGGACAACAUGACAUGAUGUCCCUCCCCAGGAGAUGUAAGGGACACACAGUGUCUCCUUUGGAGUGUUGUUGCCAAAAAUGUGACCUGAAUCCAAUCGUGAGGAAACAAUCAGACGAAUCCAGAAUGUGAGACAUCCUACAACUGUCCUGGACUCUUCCAGAAGGCUAAUGUCAUGAAAAAACGAGUUUCAAAACAUGAAAGAAGCAUAACAAUGAGACACAGCAGUGAAUCUUGAUUAUAUCCUGGAUUAAAAUGACAAUAACAGCAACAAAGCUAUAAAAAGGCAAAAUGUGGUUGUGCGGGACAUGGCAUUCCCGGCCACCAGAGGCUCUACCAUGCUCUUUACCUGCACAUCUGAAACAUGUGGCUUCCUCGGCUGACUCAGCAGGAUGAGUGAGCUUCAGAGCCUAGAGAACUGAGCCCCAGCUUUCCCUGCCUCGGCAACUGUCACCCCUAUUCACAUCCACUGGCCAUUCAGGCCCACUGCCCCUCGCACCUGCAAGAGCAGGGAAGUGCCGUCUUCUGUGAGUAGAAGGAGAAAGGAAACAUCUAAACACUAGACCAUCAGGCACCACCGGUGAAUGAACAGCUCAUUGGCCCCUUACUGUUUCCUGAGAAGGUCCAUGUAAGAAAGAUGUACUGAUAACCGAGAAAUUCCAGACGCUGAAAGAUCACACUGAGACAAAAUCACAAUGCAUUCUGUGCACAGGUGUCGUGGUGACAGCAUACAUGCAUCUUCUGCCACACAGUAACUAUGUUUCAUGGAUCUGUCUUACGAAGGUGUUUCCUGGGUGCUAAGAUUGUCACCCAGCGACGCGGGCAUGUUUGCACCUUUGAAAGCAAGUUGUUGCUGCUCGUCACUUGCCUGACUUUCCCUUUUGCGGUGUGCUGACACACGCUUCCUCUGGGCUAAAGUUUGGAGACCACUGGGGAGGAGUGGAGCCCUGACGAGAAGGGGGCUGGAGUGAAGGAUGCUCUCACGCAGGAGGCUCGGGUGGGCCCACGGUCUGGGAGCCACCGAGAGGCGUCACUGAGGGGGUGGCGCCCCAGUGCUGGGGGGCAUCUCCGAGUUUUCUGUGACUCUUCACCUCUGAACCUCAGGCUCCUCAUCUGUAGGAUGGGGGUGAUUCAGCCCCUGGUAACCACCCCUACAGGCCUGGAAAAGGAGAGGAGCUGCGCGGGGCCGUUUGUAGCGUUCAGGCCGUUUGGGCUCACGCUGAGGCUUUUGCUGAGCGGACCGUGAGCUGGAUGGCUUCCGGGAGGUGGAGGUGGAGGUGGAGGUGGAGGAUGGGGGCGGAGGAUGGGGGCAGAGCCGGCUCCACUGAAGGGGAGUGGGGUUUGCAGUGAAGGAAGGAAGGCAGAAACCUGGUUGAAGAGGAAAUCUGGGAAAGGCGGUUAUGAUUCCAAGUGGCACAUGGAUAGAUUUUGUUCAGUAAUAGAAGGUAGGAUCCUCUCUUUCUUUCCAUGUAAUUCGUCUUCGCUAAAGUUUGCCUCAGUCAGCAGUGCCUUUAAAUUGGAUUAGGUAGUUUCACGCAAAGAGUUUGUGUCUGGCCCCAAGCAGGCUCAACGAACCUCCCCCAAAUCCAUCCUUGGACCAUCGGUAAGAACGCUUUAGAGGAUAGUUGGCCAACGGUGGCCCUAGGGAAGGAAGUGGCAGGGCCCUGAGUAGGAGGAGAAUGGGCUGUGGUGGGGAAAACUCCGGAAAGGCUGGUUGGGUCAUGAGGACAGAGGCCUUGAAUGCUGGGUCUGUCCUUCUACCCUGAGGCGUGGCAGUGGAAGACUCUGGAUUUGGGGGCUGUGCUUUGGGAAGCUCUCUGCAGCCCCACAGUGGAUGACAUCUCUGCAGUAGCUGUGGAGAUGGCUGAUGACAAGGCCCAUCCCCGAAGCACAGCCUGCCCUUCACCACCAUCUGAAUUUGAGGGGGACUGCAGCACCCUCCCCGCUGCCCCGCCCUGGCACACACUGGUGGUCCGGGGAGCCUCCUCUCUCCAGCCUUGUGCUUCCACAGGGAGGGACGGGCAUUAGCGUGACACUCGGGUAGAAGUUCCUGCGGGGAUUCGGCAUGUGACACUGCGGCAGCUCUCUCCUCUCCUCUCUGAGGUCUGCCUGCCUGCUUGGAGCGUGUGCUUCUCCACGUGGGGGACUCAGUGCAGACAGUCUGGGUCCGUGGAGGACGGAGGCUCUUCCCAUCUGCCUGCCCAGCAGGUUGGCCGCAUCUCCCCUCGUGGUGUCGGUGUGGAGAUGCCAGCCUGGGCUCGGAGCAUCACACCUGCCCACCUCUGUCCGCCCAGCUGGAGGGAGCGAGCAGCUGUGGAAGGGCGCUCUCCCUUUCAGCACAGAGGAACUCUCCCAGAAGCCAGUCUCUCCUGGAGUCACGCUGGUCACCCCAGCCAGGGCCUGGCCCCAGGAGGUUAAACCUGCGCGAUCACUCCCCAGGCCUGACGGAACCAGCCGCCGGCACCCGGUGAACACAUCCCUGCAAACAGGACCCAGAGGGGCACAGAACAUCGCCAGUUCUCGACAAGCCUUUGUUGAACCUCCCAUCAUCGCCACCACAGGUAAACCACAGCACCACUCCCGUCACCACCGGUCAGUGCGUGAGGUCUCUCAACCUGUAUGUUUGAAUCACAGCGUCUGUUCCCUUGUGUACGGCUUCUCCUGCUCCACGUCACGCCUCUGAGACUCCUCCACACAGGAGCACAUGGCCGUGGUGCUUUCCUCGUCCCUUCUACGGCUGUGUCACAGGUGGUCUCUUCUACGAUGGUGAAAUUUGUGUCGGUCCCAAUGUGUGGGUGUUGCGAACUACGCCGCCGGGAACAUUCUAGCACCUGUCCUUUGGAACAGGUAUCUAUGCAUUCCUUUUGGAUACACACCCAGGACAGGGCACGACUGUUUAGUAUUUGAGGACACUGUCACUUUUCCAUGUGGUGUAUCACGUUGUUAUUUAAAAUGCCUUAUUUUAAUCAGUCAACACUCAUUUACUCUUAAAAAAUAGCUUUUAUUGUUUUAUUUGAUCACCAUUGUACCCUAUCAUUUUUAUUCUUGCUAGAGCUCAUCACCCAGCAUUUGUUUGUUUUUAGAGAGUGUCUGUGGGCCUUAAAUGUUUGGCUUCUUUCAUG